UUUCUCCAAAAUCAGCAGCUCUCAUCGUGACAUCCUCCCUCUCUCCCCAUCAUCUUCAUCUUCUUCAUUUUUGGAGCUUCUUCUUCUUCCCAAGCUUAGGUUUCAAGACUUGGUAAGAUAUCUUCUCCCAUUUCCUUUGGUUAGCUUAUUUCCUUUGAUGAGAUUAUCUAAGCUAGAUGUGUUUGUUUGGGUUGUUGUGGUUGCUUGAGAGAUGGAAAUGGUGGAAGAAGAUAAAGCUAAGGAGAUGAGCUUAGAAAUGGUUUUGGCUAGAACAAGGAUGCUCAAGAACGUUCGCUCCGGUGUAAUCAAAGAUAACAAGCAACGCCGUGCAUUCACAAGCUCGUGAUGGCUAGAUUCAGUGGCGCGCGGGGUUCGAGGAGGAGGGUGGCGGGUCAGCCAGUGUUGCCGGUGACACGGCCGUUUAAACGCCGGUCCGGCAGUGGGGUUCUGUCUGCGUCCGGCAUAGCAGCUAGGGUCGCAGCCCGGCGUCAGGCGGCGCUCCAACUUGAUCAUUCAGGGGCUGAUGCUAGACAACCAAUCAUUUUAAGUGACGAUGGGACCGAUGUGGAUGACGAGGCCCCCACCCCCCCUCGUGACCCCGAGGAGUUGGAUGAUACGGAGCCGGUGCAUGAUAUCAUGUCCCCGUUCCCCCAGAUUGAGACGCGGGGGAGGCCGAGUGAGCUUGUACGGCUGCUCACCGGAUUAUCGACAAAGCAGAGGAAGGAUGUUAUUUCUAUUGGCAUGGGGGGGUUGCUGGGCCUCCGGGUUAAGGCUUUACCCUUGCGUCUAGGCCAUUGGUUGGUAAGCAACUUCAACCCUGCACAAAUGGCCAUAAAGUUGAGCAACGGGAGGUUCCUACGCAUCACGGAGGAAGGCGUGGCAGCUGUGCUGGGCCUCCCGAAUGGAUCCGUUACGAUGACCGAACGGGAUACCCAUAUGGUUGGUCCAGACUUGCUUGCAUGGCGGUGUAAGGUUAAGAACCGUAAAGGUAAUAUCACGGUGCACGCGCUGGCCACGCUGGCGUUAAGUCUCAAAGAAGGUGGGGUGUGGUUCAAACGCCAUUUUUGUGUGGUAGUGGCGAGCACUUUGGUGGCGAGCACACUCAACAGCUAUGCCAACCAGAAGACCGUACACAUGUUUAAGGAUGUGAGGAUGAUCAAGGAUCUUGAUUGGUGUGGUUAUCUUCUAAGCUCCCUGGUGAAUACCCAUGAUAGCUGGACCCAAAACACCGCAAGGAAAUUCCCGGGCCCGUUGUUGUUCUUGACUCUGUUUUAUGUUGACAGGGUCGAAGCUGGUGAGCGAAAUGUACCCAGGGCCAACCCGGCCGCACACGGGUGGACUAAAAGGGCGUUGGAUGCACGGGAGCAACAGGAGGUUGAUGCGGGGGAGUUCGGGUACGGGCAGUUGGAGGAACCGUUUUCGACAUCAGCCUCGCGACCCAGGUGUCGUAGCUCCGUGGAACAGACACGGUAUGGCCGGGCGGAUAGCAGACCACAACCAGUGCACCAAGGUCACACACCAGGUGUUAGCAUGGUCAGCGCAGCGUCCCGUGCUCCAACGGUCCCAAGCCCUCAAGGGGAUACCACGGGCAGCCGUGGCGCUGCAGGGGACCACCCGGUGCACCAUGGCCUCAUUCCGGAUGCAAACAAGGGGUUUGGCUGUGAACUAGAUUCCAUGAUUGCUGACCUCCGUACAGUAGCCUCACGCGUUGCAGAUAAGGUUCGCGAAGACCCUAGACAGGCCCAGAGACGCCAGUGUUUCCACCACCUCAGUGGGGUCGCCAGUUUGAUCUUGGGUUUGAUACCGGCCUCGGUUGAAGUCGCACCCAAUCGGGUCCCUGAAGUGACCACCGCGCCAGUCUUACCUCCAGAGCACCAUGAAGACCCGUUCUGGCACUCCUCCCAGUUAUUCAGGGAGGUCAAUCGGGUUGAGGAGGCCGUCACGCGGGACCUAGCGACACAGCGGGUGGUGGGUAUGCCAGUUCGCCAGGCAAAUGGAACCAUGCAAUCUCGACAGGGGGUGCAAGUCAGGGAGCCCAGUCCGGAAGGGUUUGAGCCACCGAGUUUUAGCCUAGGGAUGACACAAGAGCUGGCAUCAUAGAGGGUAGAGGAUAUGCCGGCUGGCUCGUUGAAUGUGGUGCAGGUAAGGGAGACGCGUCUAGGGAUGGAGGGGUUGACAGCUGGCCCGUCAAAUGCGACCACACAACUUAUGCAGGGACAGCAGACGAGGGGGACCAUUACGCCGCAGCGGGGGUUGCGCACGCUGGCAUCAUCAAGGUUUGAGCGUAGGACGCCUGGCCCGUCAGAUGCUACCACGCUGACUCCCCAGGUACACCACCACCUGGGUGGGGUCACUAGUUUGAUCUCGGGUUUGAUACCGGCCCCGGCUGAAGUCGCACCCAAUCGGGUCCCUGAAGUGACCACCGCGCCAGUCUUACCUCCAGAGCACCAUGAAGACCCGUUCUGGCAGUCCUCCCAGUUAUUCAGGGAGGUCAAUCGGGUUGAGGAGGCCGUCAUG